rnacentral:rRNA from 1 species
GACGAACGCUGGCGGCGUGCCUAAUACAUGCAAGUCGAACGCUUCUUUCCUCCCGAGUGCUUGCACUCAAUUGGAAAGAGGAGUGGCGGACGGGUGAGUAACACGUGGGUAACCUACCCAUCAGAGGGGGAUAACACUUGGAAACAGGUGCUAAUACCGCAUAACAGUUUAUGCCGCAUGGCAUAAGAGUGAAAGGCGCUUUCGGGUGUCGCUGAUGGAUGGACCCGCGGUGCAUUAGCUAGUAGGUGAGGUAACGGCUCACCAAGGCCACGAUGCAUAGCCGACCUGAGAGGGUGAUCGGCCACACUGGGACUGAGACACGGCCCAGACUCCUACGGGAGGCAGCAGUAGGGAAUCUUCGGCAAUGGACGAAAGUCUGACCGAGCAACGCCGCGUGAGUGAAGAAGGUUUUCGGAUCGUAAAACUCUGUUGUUAGAGAAGAACAAGGACGUUAGUAACUGAACGUCCCCUGACGGUAUCUAACCAGAAAGCCACGGCUAACUACGUG